GGCUUUUUGAUAAUAAUUUAAGGUCUGACCUGCCCAAUGAUUUAAGUAUUAAAUGGCCGCGGUACUUUGACCGUGCAAAGGUAGCAUAAUCAUUAGUUUUUUAAUUGAAAGCUUGUAUGAAAGGUUUGAUGAAAAAGAAACUGUCUUUGUUUAAAUUUUAUAGAAAUUUAUUUUUAAGUUAAAAAGCUUAAAUAUAUAUUAAAGACGAGAAGACCCUAUAGAGUUUUAUAUUUUUAUAAAAUUUAUUAUAUUUUAGAAUUUUUUAAUAUUUUUAUAAACUUUAUUUAGUUGGGGUGAUUAAAAAAUUAAAUAAACUUUUUUAUUUAUAUUUACAUUGAUUUAUGAAAAUUUGAUCUUUAUAAAAGAUUAAUAGAUAAAAUUACCUUAGGGAUAACAGCGUAAUUUUUUUUAGAGUUCUUAUCAAAAAAAAAGAUUGCGACCUCGAUGUUGGAUUAAAAUUAAUUAUUGGUGUAGAAGCUAAUAAAUUAGGUCUGUUCGACCUUUAAAAUUUUACAUGAUCUGAGUUUAAACCGGUGUAAG
rnacentral:rRNA from 1 species